AGUGAACGCUGGCGGUAGGCCUAACAUAUGCAAGUCGAACGGCAGCACAGUAAGAGCUUGCUCUUACGGGUGGCGAGUGGCGGACGGGUGAGGAAUACAUCGGAAUCUACUUUUUCGUGGGGGAUAACGUAGGGAAACUUACGCUAAUACCGCAUACGACCUACGGGUGAAGGCAGGGGAUCUUCGGACCUUGCGCGAUUGAAUGAGCCGAUGUCGGAUUAGCUAGUUGGCGGGGUAAAGGCCCACCAAGGCGACGAUCCGUAGCUGGUCUGAGAGGAUGAUCCGCCACACUGGAACUGAGACACGGUCCAGACUCCUACGGGAGGCAGCAGUGGGGAAUAUUGGACAGUGGGCGCAAGCCUGAUCCAGCCAUACCGCGUGGGUGAAGAAGGCCUUCGGGUUGUAAAGCCCUUUUGUUGGGAAAGAAAAGCAGCAGGUUAAUACCCCGCUGUUCUGACGGUACCCAAAGAAUAAGCACCGGCUAACUUCGUG
rnacentral:rRNA from 1 species